CCUGUUGCUGGGUCGCCUGUAACAGG
rfam:Enterobacter cloacae S611 EDP2.NODE_1914, whole genome shotgun sequence.